AUGCUUUGUUUGUUUGUCUCGGGGAUGCUUUGUUUGUUUGUCUCGGGGAUGCUUUGUUUGUUUGUCUCGGGGAUGCUUUUAAGGGUAGUAGCAGGGGAAAAUGUUGUUUUGUAUUUUUAAGAUGGAGCAGCAAUCAUUCCUCAGAGAGACUGUGACUAUAAAACUAUAUGUGUUUGGUUGUCAGCAGAGGAGUAUUAAUUAGGGACCCUUAGUCACGACAGACAGAGGCGGUGCUCCAAUCCAAUCCAGCCAGCUCCUGAGUAGUUCCCUUCAGUCCCCUUAUUGCCCUUCAGAAAGAUAGAUGGAGACACCACCAUAUCGCAAUAAUACAUGUGUGUUAGGUGCUUAUUUCACACACGUGUUAGGUGCUUAUUUCACAUGUGUUAGGUGCUUAUUUCACACAUGUGUUAGGUGCUUAUUUCACACACGUGUUAGGUGCUUAUUUCACACGUGUUAGGUGCUUAUUUCACAUGUGUUAGGUGCUUAUUUCACACACGUGUUAGGUGCUUAUUUCACACACGUGUUAGGUGCUUAUUUCACACACGUGUUAGGUGCUUAUUUCACACACGUGUUAGGUGCUUAUUUCACACACGUGCUUGUUUGAAUUGGAAAUGUAUUUUUUCCUUUUCAUAUCCCAACUCCACCUGAGACACAAACGGAGAGGGUCAACCAUUGCUAAUGCCAAACUGGUCCCUUCAGCUCUGCUAAAACUGAAGCGGUAGCUAGACUCUCUGCGAUACGUGUUGCUUUUGGAGUGACAUGUUGUGGUGCAACACUACCUGGUGAUGUUUUUAAUGGGGUAUCACAGGGUAAACUGUGCAACAUUACAUUGUGAUGUUUUUAAUGGGGCAUCACAAGGUAAACUGUGCAACACUACAUUGUGAUGUUUUUAAUGGGGGAUCACAGGGUAAAUUGUGCAACACUACAUUGUGAUGUUUUUAAUGGGGGAUCACAGGGUAAACUGUGCAACACUACAUUGUGAUGUUUUUAAUGGGGGAUCACAGGGUAAACUGUGCAACAUUACAUUGUGAUGUUUUUAAUGGCGCAUCACAAGGUAAACUGUGCAACACUACAUUGUGAUGUUUUUAAUGGGGCAUCACAAGGUAAACUGUGCAACACUACAUUGUGAUGUUUUUAAUGGGGCAUCACAAGGUAAACUGUGCAACACUACAUUGUGAUGUUUUUAAUGGCGCAUCACAAGGUAAACUGUGCAACAUUACAUUGUGAUGUUUUUAAUGGGGGAUCACAGGGUAAACUGCGCAACAUUACAUUGUGAUAUUUUUAAUGGGGGAUCACAGGGUAAACUGUGCAGCACUACAUUGUGAUGUUAUUCAUGGGAGAUCACAAGGUAAACUGUGCAACACUACAGUGUGAUGUUUUUAAUGGUGGGGGAUCACAGGGUAAACUGUGCAACACUACAUUGUGAUGUUUUUAAUGGGGGAUCACAAGGUAAACUGUGUAGCACUACAUUGUGAUGUUUUUAAUGGGGGAUCAUAAGGUAAACUGUGCAACACUACAUUGUGAUGUUUUUAAUGGGGGAUCACAAGGUAAACUGUGUAGCACUACAUUGUGAUGUUUUUAAUGGGGGAUCACAAGGUAAACUGUGCAACACUACAUUGUGAUGUUUUUAAUGGGGGAUCACAAGGUAAACUGUGAAGCACUACAUUGUGAUGUUUUUAAUGGGGGAUCACAAGGUAAACUGUGCAACACUACAUUGUGAUGUUUUUAAUGGAGGGGGGAUCACAGGGUAAACUGUGCAACACUACAUUGUGAUGUUUUUAAUGGGGGAUCACAAGGUAAACUGUGAAGCACUACAUUGUGAUGUUUUUAAUGGCGCAUCACAAGGUAAACUGUGCAACAUUACAUUGUGAUGUUUUUAAUGGGGCAUCACAGGGUAAACUGUGCAACAUUACAUUGUGAUGUUUUUAAUGGGGGAUCACAGGGUAAACUGUGCAACAUUACAUUGUGAUGUUUUUAAUGGGGUAUCACAGGGUAAACUGUGCAACACUACAUUGUGAUGUUUUUAAUGCAGGAUCACAGGGUAAACUGUGCAACAUUACAUUGUGAUAUUUUUAAUGGGGGAUCACAAGGUAAACUGUGCAACACUACAUUGUGAUGUUUUUAAUGGGGGAUCACAAGGUAAACUGUGAAGCAGUACAUUGCGAUGUUUUAGGAUAGAGGAUAGGUGAACACAGUAGGAUAGAGGAUAGGUGAACACAGUAGGAUAGAGGAUAGGUGAACACAGUAGGAUAGAGGAUAGGUGAACACAGUAGGAUAGAGGAUAGGUGAACACAGUAGGAUAGAGGAUAGGUGAACACAGUAGGAAAGAGGAUAGGUGAACGCAGUAGGAAAGAGGACAGGUGAAUGCAGUAGGAUAGAGGAUAGGUGAACACAGUAGGAAAGAGGAUAGGUGAACACAUUAGGAUAGAGGAUAGGUGAACACAGUAGGAAAGAGGAUAGGGGAACACAGUAGGAUAGAGGAUAGGUGAACGCAGUAGGAUAGAGGAUAGGUGAACACAGUAGGAUAGAGGAUAGGUGAACACAGUAGGAUAGAGGAUAGGUGAACACAGUAGGAUAGAGGAUAGGUGAACACAGUAGGAAAGAGGAUAGGGGAACACAGUAGGAUAGAGGAUAGGUGAACGCAGUAGAAUGGAGGAUAGGUGAACACAGUAGGAUAGAGGUUAAAGCAGUAGGAUAGGUGAACACAGUAGGAUAGAGGAUAGGUGAACACAGUAGGAUAGAGGAUAGGUGAACACAGUAGGAUAGAGGAUAGGUGAACACAGUAGGAAAGAGGAUAGGGGAACACAGUAGGAUAGAGGAUAGGUGAACGCAGUAGGAUAGAGGAUAGGUGAACACAGUAGGAUAGAGGAUAGGUGAACACAGUAGGAUAGAGGAUAGGUGAACACAGUAGGAUAGAGGAUAGGUGAACACAGUAGGAGAGAGGAUAGGUGAACGCAGUAGGAAAGAGGAUAGGUGAACACAUUAGGAUAGAGGAUAGGUGAACGCAGUAGGAGAGAGGAUAGGUGAACACAGUAGGAUAGAGGAUAGGUGAACACAGUAGGAUAGAGGAUAGGUGAACACAGUAGGAUAGAGCCUUUGCCACGUUGCUCUCACUUAUACAAUCAUCAUACAGAUCAGUGGUUUCCUCAAGGAAGGGAAAAAUAAAUACAAUUGAUGUGAAGGAUAGAAUUUAAGCACUCAAACAGGGAGUGGAUGACUCUGCACAUUAAUUGAAGAAUAAAACCCUCUAGAAGCAAA